rnacentral:rRNA from 1 species
AUUGAACGCUGGCGGCAUGCCUUACACAUGCAAGUCAAACGGCAGCAUGGAGAGCUUGCUCUCUGAUGGCGAGUGGCGAACGGGUGAGUAAAGCAUCGGAACGUACCGUGUAGUGGGGGAUAACGUAGCGAAAGUUACGCUAAUACCGCAUACGCACUGAGGUGGAAAGCAGGGGAUCGUAAGACCUUGCGCUAUACGAGCGGCCGAUGUCAGAUUAGCUGGUUGGUAGGGUAAAGGCCUACCAAGGCGACGAGCUGUAGCGGGUCUGAGAGGAUGAUCCGCCACACUGGGACUGAGACACGGCCCAGACUCCUACGGGAGGCAGCAGUGGGGAAUUUUGGACAAUGGGGGCAACCCUGAUCCAGCCAUGCCGCGUGAGUGAAGAAGGCCUUCGGGUUGUAAGCUCUUUCGGCCGGAAAGAAAUCGCACAGGCUAAUACCCUGUGUGAAUGACGGUACCGGCAUAAGAAGCACCGGCUAACUACGUGCCAGCCGCCGCCGUAA